UACGGAAGGCAGCAGUGGGGAAUAUUGCACAAUGGGCGAAAGCCUGAUGCAGCUAUGCCGCGUGUAUGAAGAAGGCCUUAGGGUUGUAAAGUACUUUCAUCGGGGAGGAAAAACAAAACUAAUAAUUUUAUUUCUUGACGUUACCCGAAAAAGAAGCACCGGCUAACUCCGUGCCAGCAGCCGCGGUAAUACGGAGGGUGCUAGCGUUAAUCAGAAUUACUGGGCGUAAAGAGCACGUAGGUGGUUUUUUUAAGUCAGAUGUGAAAUCCCUGGGCUUAACCUAGGAAACUGCAUUUUGAAACUGAAAUACUAGAGUAUCGUAGAGGGAGGUAGAAUUCUAGGUGUAGCGGUGAAAUGCGUAGAUAUCUGGAGGAAUACCUGUGGCGAAAGCGGCCUCCUAAACGAAUACUGACACUGAGGUGCGAAAAGCGUGGGGAGCAAACAGGGAUUAGAUACC
rnacentral:rRNA from 1 species